CAGCGCCACAAGUGGGGAUCGCUUUUAUUGGGCCUAAAGCGUCCGUAGCCGGUCUAUCGAAUCUCUUGUGAAAUCGUUCGGCUCAACCGAACGGCGUGCAGGAGACACUCCUAGACUAGGGACCGGGAGGGGUCAGAGGUAUUCUGGGGGGAGCGGUAAAAUGCUAUAAUCCCCGGAGGACCACCGGUGGCGAAGGCGUCUGACCAGAACGGAUCCGACGGUGAGGGACGAAAGCCAGGGGAGCAAUCCGGAUUAGAGACCCGAGUAGUCC
rnacentral:rRNA from 1 species